GGGAGCUCAUAGAAAGAUUUAUAAAGUUUACUUCGUUAAAAUUUUCGUCUAGUUGUUUUACUAGUUCUUUAUAUUUGGCUUUUUUCCGAUUAACGUUGUUCUCGAGGUUUGUCUCAUAGCCAACAGUGAGCUCAACCACAUAAAGAGAGCCAUUUGAUAACGAUAGCAACAAAUCCGGGCGAUACGUAUCACCAGUCAUUAUUGAAGGACUUUUGAAUCCAGGCACAUCAGCGUAGAGGGCAGAACCGUUCACAGUUUGCAAGGUAUUGGCAAGGAAGUUCAGGAUUGAAUUGUGUCUCCACGUAAAUCGAUCGAGAUAACACUGACAUCCAGCGACCACGUGCAAUAAUGAUUCUGAGCCAAGACAAAAGGAGC